rnacentral:tRNA from 1 species
GGGGACGUAGUUCAGUGGGAGAAUGCUACAUUCGCAUUGUAGAGGUCGUGGGUUCGAAUCCCAUCGUCUCCACCA